rnacentral:rRNA from 1 species
ACACGACUACAUUAGAUACCCGGGUAGUCCCAGCCGUAAACUAUGCGCGUUAGGUGUAUCGGUGACCACGAGUUACCGAGGUGCCGAAGGGAACCGUGAAACGUGCCGCCUGGGAAGUACGGUCGCAAGGCUAGAAACUUAAAGGAAUUGGCGGGGAGCACCACAACAGGUGGAGCCUGCGGUUUAAUUGGACUCAACGCCGGGAAGCUCACCGGAUAGGACAGCAGAAUGAUUGCCGGGCUGAAGACCCUGCAUGACUAGCUG